rnacentral:lncRNA from 1 species
AGUUGAGAUUAAUCUACAGGAGGAGGAGAAGAAUCAUCCACACCGCUCUUCGCCACCCGGCUGGGAGCAAUUCCAGAAGGCAGGGUCUGCUUGGGCAGUUGAGAGGCCUUGGGUCAUGCCGCUUAUUGAAACCAUCAGCAGGAGGAGUUUGGAUAAAGCUGAAGUUCCACUUAUGUGCUCGGUGAUCCAUCUGGGAAGACAGUGGCCACAGCCCAACAGGAGGCCGGGGAACCUGGACCCCACCAGCCAAGCUUUGAGAAGCAGAUCGGCUUGAAUGAGCAUGGAAUGUAUUUAAAAAGCAGCUGGAAGUCUGUCAAGUGCAUUCUGGAAAUGGAUUCAGGCUAACAGAGUGUUCUGAAUAGAGACGCCUAAAACAAGUAAGUAUGAUCUGUUAUCAAUGCAUCAUCACUUUAUGGUACACGAUUGAUUUUCUUAAGUAUGUGAUUGUAGUGUCUAUAAUUUUGUGUUUUUGUACUUAGCAACCCUUUUACAUAUAGAUGGAAUCAGAAUAAAUUUCAUCCUAGUUCUAUUUCCAAAAUAUUAUUGGUGCCCCUAGUUGCACUGCCUGAGUGUUGUCAGAUCAAGGCUUACAGACUCACGGGCGAUGCUGCAGAAUGAGUGACAACAGAUAAUGCCAAUCGCCCAGAUUGAAUCCAGCAAGAAAUGACAUUGGAAUGGCUCUACCUUGUGGAGGGAACUGUCCAGUGCAGAGGACCUGCCUGAGUAUUGCUUACAAUACAUCUUUCUGGUUAUAAUGAAGCCAUUUAUUUGUUUACAUCUUUAUUAUUGCCACUUUCCUCCACUGGCUUGGAAAUCCUUAGAGCCUAGAACAAUGCUGGGCUUGGAGCAGGUGCUUGAAAGCAUAUUACCAAAAUGAAUGAAUGAAUGAAUGAAUGAAAGAAUAGGUGAAGAUGCUGGUGCAGACCUCGGUCUUUUGUGAGCUUGGUGAGUGUGAACCAGAGUCUGAGAUCCCUGGUUUCCCUGAUUAGACACUGAGGAUCAGACAUUGGAAGCACCACUGUCCUGUAAGGCUCCUUCUCACCCAGCUCGGCAGCCUUUGCUACACCUCUGUCUUUAUUAACCGUCCUCUGUGAGUCCACCUUGAAAGGUUCUCACUUACUUGCUUUUUCUCUCUGCAGGAGCCAAAGACAUAGCAACGGAGAACGUGGGUGGUACAGCCCUCCACCCUGGCGAGCAGCACGUUAGAAUCACAUAGGAGCUUAAAAAGUACUGACUGGCCUGGUCUUUUUUGGUGUGAAGGUGGGAUGCAGGCUUCCUGGGCUUAUCCUCUCGUACAGCCAGAGUUGAGAACCAUCUGAGUAGCGCUUCUCACACUUCUGGCCACAUCAGAAUCGUCCGGGGGCUUGUUCACUGCAGGUUGCUGGGUCCCAUCUCUAGCCUCUGAUCCAGUAGCCUGGGGUGGGGCACAGGAUGUCCUGCUGCUGGGGUCUGGGCAGUGCUAUGAGAACUGCUGACGUUGGAGCUCGAUCAGGUGGUCCCUCACUCCCUGACCCAGGGCAUUUGCUGCUUCCUGUCUCUGCCAUUCUUUUCUCAACCUGGGGCACUUGCUUUUCUCGCUAUGCUGCCCUGCCCUUUGCUGAGGCCUGGGUUAUCCCUGGCAGGGUGCAGAAAAAAAAUUUUUAAGUUACUUUUCUCAGCCCAAAGGAGACUGGAAUGCUUCACAAGGGGUUCUACUUGACAGGCAGUUGGACCACCCAAAUGGCAAACUAAAAGCAUAGAAGCGGACACCAGAGGCUCCUGGACCUGAGAUGUGGCCCUGGAAGUGACCAGAUGUGGUCUCAAGAGAUGCGGGCCCAGGGCUAGGAAUGCCGCCAUCCGGGGAGGCCCUAGAGCAGAGCAGAGCAGCUGUGGGCUGGCGCCAAGCUCACUCCUGCUUCUCUCUGCACGUCUCCUUCAUUCUUUUCUCUCUGAACUGUGACCCUUUUGGCCCCUCUGGGUACCAGGUGGGACAAGGUGACCCAUCAGCACUUGAGUUUACACCUUAGAUGUGUAGGUCCUCACAGAAGCCAACUUGUCUCCUUCUGGGACCAAAUUCCAAAUUCCUAAAAAAAAAAAAAAAAUCAAAAACGGAUAUGAUAAGCCUAUCUCAGUGGUCAGCCCCUGGGGCGCAAACAUUCCCCUGAGUCAGGGAAGGGUGACGGUAACACAGGUAUCAUUAUGAUUUAGGUGUGGCAAGACUAGCAGGUCAGGGGUGCCUGCCGUUGAAAAGACUGUCAUACAGUUCCCAGGUGGAAGGGGUGUGCCAGGAGGGGCAGCCAGAAGGCAGAUGGAGGGAAGCUGCCUUUAUGGUGUUUCUGCUGGGAGGCACAGGUGCGGUGGAGGAAGCAGGCUUAGGAUUGGUUCUUGUGAAUGUCUUCAGUGGGCUCUGGUUAUUUGGUACCUGGCCCGGGGUGAUGAGGGUAGAUAGACAGAGGCCCAGAAGGUGAGAGCCUAAUACCCAGAGCGGUCGGGGGGGUGGGUGGGCUCAGGGCUGGUUGGUUUGGGAAGCAUGUUUGUGGGCCCGUUGGUUACCGUCUCAAGGAAUGGGCUAGGCCUGGGUGUGGCUGUCCUUCUAGGAUCAGCAAGGCACCAAAUAUCAAAGCACCAGAAUACACAAAGUAAAAGACUGCAUUAAUACAGGGUAGUUUACAAAGAAAUGGGAAAUUGUUGGCUCUGAGCUGGGUGGGGAUUGAAACGGUGUUCCCUGCAGAUCCAUUUAAAGUCUCUCUGUAAAUAUGCGUUGGUGUGUAACUGCUCCUUGUCUCUAAGCUCAGGCAGCCCCUCCCAUGCCAGGUGAGGGGUCUUCCCACCUCCCUUUUCCUCUCUGGGUGUCCCUCCAUUAUGAUCUGGGGACCAAGGCUGGCUGUAGCAGUGUGCCUCCAUGGCCUAGGGCGGUUGGCAAAUGCAAUUUCUUCGGCAGUGCUGGAUAAAGUGGGAUGACGCGGUGACCACAUGGAAUGUCAUUUCCGAUGAAAGCUGGCGUGCCAGCCCGUGACAGGACACAGAGGAGCGUGGAUUCCCCUUCAUGGUUGACUUCAGCCAAGGCCAUCAUCUCCGCUGCCAAAGCCUGCCCUGAUUGCCUGCCCUGGGGGAGAGGAGUGUUUUGAAGAUGACAAAUCAAAGUCAGGUCCUGCAUGGAGUUUGCGUGCCUGACAGCCUAGCUAGCACAGGAGGACAUGCAGGUGGAAUUUGUGCAAGGCUGUUAUUUUCUGUAACACAAUACACACUGAGAAGGCAAUGGGUACCCUUGGACCCUGCAGGCCAAUUCAAGCACCAUCACUGCUUUUCAGAAGUGUGGGGCAUAGAUGCCAGCUGAGCCUAGCAAGAUGUCCUAUGUUACCAAGAGUCUAUUAGAAAGCAGAGCAGGUCUCAAGAUUCAAUGAAACAAUUGCCUGGAAGCUGGAAGAUAAUAUGGAAGCUAGGGAUAUAAUAGAGUGUGUUGCUGGGAACGGUGGCUCAUGCCUGUAAUCGCAGCACUUUGGGAGGCUGAGGUAGGGGGGAUCACUUGAACCCAGGAGUUGGAGGCCAGCCUGGGCAACACAGCAAGACCCCAUUUCUAUAAAUAAUUAAAAAAAAAUUAGCUGGGUGUUGUGGUGCAUGCCUGUAUUCUUAACUACUCCAGAGGCUGAGGUGGGAGGAUGGCUUGAGUCCAGAAGUUCAAGGUUACAGUGAACCACGAUUGAGCCACACUGCAUUCCAGCUGGGUAACAGAGGGAGACUCUGUCUCU